rnacentral:rRNA from 1 species
GAUGAACGCUGGCGGCGUGCCUAAUACAUGCAAGUCGAGCGAAUGGAUUAAGAGCUUGCUCUUAUGAAGUUAGCGGCGGACGGGUGAGUAACACGUGGGUAACCUGCCCAUAAGACUGGGAUAACUCCGGGAAACCGGGGCUAAUACCGGAUAACAUUUUGAACCGCAGGGUUCGAAAUUGAAAGGCGGCUUCGGCUGUCACUUACUGAUGGACCCGGGUCGCAUUAGCUAGUUGGUGAGGUAACGGCUCACCAAGGCAACGAUGCGUAGCCGACCUGAGAGGGUGAUCGGCCACACUGGGACUGAGACACGGCCCAGACUCCUACGGGAGGCAGCAGUAGGGAAUCUUCCGCAAUGGACGAAAGUCUGACGGAGCAACGCCGCGUGAGUGAUGAAGGCUUUCGGGUCGUAAAACUCUGUUGUUAGGGAAGAACAAGUGCUAGUUGAAUAAGCUGGCACCUUGACGGUACCUAACCAGAAAGCCACGGCUAACUACGUGCCAGCCGCCGCGGUAA